AACGCUGGCGGCGUGCCUAACACAUGCAAGUCGAGCGGUAACAGGUGUAGCAAUACAUGCUGACGAGCGGCGAACGGGUGAGUAAUGUUUCGGAAUCUGCCCAAUGGUGGGGAAUAACCAGCCGAAAGGUUGGCUAAUACCGCAUAAGUCCUACGGGAGAAAGCGGGGGAUCGCAAGACCUCGCGCCGAUGGAUGAGCCGAAACCGGAUUAGCUAGUUGGUAGGGUAACGGCCUACCAAGGCGACGAUCCGUAGCUGGUCUGAGAGGACGACCAGCCACACUGGGACUGAGACACGGCCCAGACUCCUACGGGAGGCAGCAGUGGGGAAUAUUGGACAAUGGGGGAAACCCUGAUCCAGCGACGCCGCGUGUGUGAAGAAGGCCCGCGGGUUGUAAAGCACUUUUAGUGGGGAUGAAAAGCUCAGGGCUAAUACCGCUGAGUCUUGACCUAACCCAAAGAAAAAGCACCGGCUAACUCUGUGCCAGCAGCCGCGGUAAUACAGAGGGUGCAAGCGUUAAUCGGAAUUACUGGGCGUAAAGCGUGCGUAGACGGUUAUGUAAGUCGGGUGUGAAAGCCCCGGGCU
rnacentral:rRNA from 1 species